rnacentral:tRNA from 1 species
GUUGCUGGAUAGAGCGUUGCCCUCCGAAGGCAAAGGUCACACGUUCGAAUCGUGUCGGGUGCGCCA